CAACCGAAUAUUGCAAUAUAUUGUAUAACCUCAAUGAUAUGGUUUGAGGGUGUCUACCAGGAACCGUAAAAUCCUGAUUACAAAAAUUGUCCCGUACACUU
rnacentral:ncRNA from 1 species